rnacentral:rRNA from 1 species
UACGAAGGUGGCAAGCGUUACUCGGAAUUACUAGGCGUAAAGGGCAGGUAGGUGGUUCGGUUAGUCUGUUGUGAAAGCUCCUUGCUUAACGAGGAGAGGUCAACAGAUACUGCCGAGCUUGAGUAUGGGAGAGGGUACUGGAAUUCCCGGUGUAGCGGUGAAAUGCGCAGAGAUCGGGAGGAACACCAAUGGCGAAAGCAGGUACCUGGACCAUUACUGACACUCAGCUGCGAAAGCUAGGGGAGCAAACAGG